ACCCAUAUCAUAAGCGGACCUUAUGACAUGUUGACUGGAGAAAAGUCAGAAACUGGCGAUCGACGAAAAUUCCAAACUUUAUAGUCGCAGUAGGCCUAUCUGUGAUCGUCCAGUAUUAAUCAUCCUGUAGCAUGACUAUGUUGUGUCUGUAAGCAACUUCAGGUUGGCCCCGGAAGACGUGUUUGUAGCUGUCAGAAACGGAGGCAAAUAUGAUAACGCUGCAUAAAAAAUUGCGCGAAAAGAAUCCACAAAAAAAUGAGCACCCACUCAUGGGAACCCAAACAAGGAGGGUAUCAGUGCGAGACAGACUACUUGUUAAAGAAGUGCAAGAAAUGAACCAAUAUCUCCCACCUACGUGUUCCAUUCAGUUUGAUGAUCCGAACACACUUCAUGAUUUUGAUCUGAUAAUCAAC